rnacentral:tRNA from 1 species
CGCAGGGCGCAGCAGUGGAAAAAUUUUUUUUUACUGUUGUGGUGUGUGGAGCCUUUUUUAAGGUUUAGGGCCCUAUAGCUUCAGUUGGUUAAAGCUACACGCCUGAUAAGCGUGUGGUCGGGUGGUGCAAGUCCAUUUAGGCCCACCAAAAUAGGUCACAUCUUAAAAAAGCUCUUUGAAAAGUAGAUAAACUAAGG